UACGUAGGUGACCAGCGUUGUCCGGAUUUACUGGGCGUAAAGAGCGCGCAGGCGGUCGUUCAAGUCGAGUGUGAAAGCCCCCGGCUCAACUGGGGAGGGUCACUCGAUACUGAUCGACUUGAAGGCAGGAGAGGGAAGCGGAAUUCCCGGUGUAGUGGUGAAAUGCGUAGAUAUCGGGAGGAACACCAGUGGCGAAGGCGAGUCCCUGGACAAUUCCUGACGCUGAGGCACGAAAGCUAGGGGAGCAAACAGG
rnacentral:rRNA from 1 species